rnacentral:rRNA from 1 species
GGGUUGUGAGGUUAAGCGACUAAGCGUACACGGUGGAUGCCCUGGCAGUCAGAGGCGAUGAAGGACGUGCUAAUCUGCGAUAAGCGCCGGUAAGGUGAUAUGAACCGUUAUAACCGGCGAUUUCCGAAUGGGGAAACCCAGUGUGAUUCGUCACACUAUCAUUAACUGAAUCCAUAGGUUAAUGAGGCGAACCGGGGGAACUGAAACAUCUAAGUACCCCGAGGAAAAGAAAUCAACCGAGAUUCCCCCAGUAGCGGCGAGCGAACGGGGAGGAGCCCAGAGCCUGAAUCAGCAUGUGUGUUAGUGGAAGCGUCUGGAAAGGCGCGCGAUACAGGGUGACAGCCCCGUACACAAAAGCGCAUGUGCUGUGAGCUCGAUGAGUAGGGCGGGACACGUGGUAUCCUGUCUGAAUAUGGGGGGACCAUCCUCCAAGGCUAAAUACUCCUGACUGACCGAUAGUGAACCAGUACCGUGAGGGAAAGGCGAAAAGAACCCCGGCGAGGGGAGUGAAAAAGAACCUGAAACCGUGUACGUACAAGCAGUGGGAGCACCCUUUGGGGUGUGACUGCGUACCUUUUGUAUAAUGGGUCAGCGACUUAUAUUCUGUAGCAAGGUUAACCGUAUAGGGGAGCCGGAGGGAAACCGAGUCUUAAUUGGGCGUUAAGUUGCAGGGUAUAGACCCGAAACCCGGUGAUCUAGCCAUGGGCAGGUUGAAGGUUGGGUAACACUAACUGGAGGACCGAACCGACUAAUGUUGAAAAAUUAGCGGAUGACCUGUGGCUGGGGGUGAAAGGCCAAUCAAACCGGGAGAUAGCUGGUUCUCCCCGAAAGCUAUUUAGGUAGCGCCUCGUGAAUUCAUCUCCGGGGGUAGAGCACUGUUUCGGCUAGGGGGCCAUCCCGGCUUACCAACCCGAUGCAAACUGCGAAUACCGGAGAAUGUUAUCACGGGAGACACACGGCGGGUGCUAACGUCCGUCGUGAAGAGGGAAACAACCCAGACCGCCAGCUAAGGUCCCAAAGUCAUGGUUAAGUGGGAAACGAUGUGGGAAGGCCCAGACAGCCAGGAUGUUGGCUUAGAAGCAGCCAUCAUUUAAAGAAAGCGUAAUAGCUCACUGGUCGAGUCGGCCUGCGCGGAAGAUGUAACGGGGCUAAACCAUGCACCGAAGCUGCGGCAGCGACACUGUGUGUUGUUGGGUAGGGGAGCGUUCUGUAAGCCUGUGAAGGUGUGUCGUGAGGCAUGCUGGAGGUAUCAGAAGUGCGAAUGCUGACAUAAGUAACGAUAAAGCGGGUGAAAAGCCCGCUCGCCGGAAGACCAAGGGUUCCUGUCCAACGUUAAUCGGGGCAGGGUGAGUCGACCCCUAAGGCGAGGCCGAAAGGCGUAGUCGAUGGGAAACGGGUUAAUAUUCCCGUACUUGGUGUUACUGCGAAGGGGGGACGGAGAAGGCUAUGUUGGCCGGGCGACGGUUGUCCCGGUUUAAGCGUGUAGGUGUGUGUUCCAGGUAAAUCCGGUUCACUUUAACACUGAGGCGUGACGACGAGGCACUACGGUGCUGAAGCAACAAAUGCCCUGCUUCCAGGAAAAGCCUCUAAGCAUCAGGUAACAUCAAAUCGUACCCCAAACCGACACAGGUGGUCAGGUAGAGAAUACCAAGGCGCUUGAGAGAACUCGGGUGAAGGAACUAGGCAAAAUGGUGCCGUAACUUCGGGAGAAGGCACGCUGACACGUAGGUGAAGUGAUUUACUCAUGGAGCUGAAGUCAGUCGAAGAUACCAGCUGGCUGCAACUGUUUAUUAAAAACACAGCACUGUGCAAACACGAAAGUGGACGUAUACGGUGUGACGCCUGCCCGGUGCCGGAAGGUUAAUUGAUGGGGUCAGCGCAAGCGAAGCUCCUGAUCGAAGCCCCGGUAAACGGCGGCCGUAACUAUAACGGUCCUAAGGUAGCGAAAUUCCUUGUCGGGUAAGUUCCGACCUGCACGAAUGGCGUAAUGAUGGCCAGGCUGUCUCCACCCGAGACUCAGUGAAAUUGAACUCGCUGUGAAGAUGCAGUGUACCCGCGGCAAGACGGAAAGACCCCGUGAACCUUUACUAUAGCUUGACACUGAACAUUGAGCCUUGAUGUGUAGGAUAGGUGGGAGGCUUUGAAGUGUGGACGCCAGUCUGCAUGGAGCCGACCUUGAAAUACCACCCUUUAAUGUUUGAUGUUCUAACGUGGACCCGUAAUCCGGGUUGCGGACAGUGUCUGGUGGGUAGUUUGACUGGGGCGGUCUCCUCCUAAAGAGUAACGGAGGAGCACGAAGGUUGGCUAAUCCUGGUCGGACAUCAGGAGGUUAGUGCAAUGGCAUAAGCCAGCUUGACUGCGAGCGUGACGGCGCGAGCAGGUGCGAAAGCAGGUCAUAGUGAUCCGGUGGUUCUGAAUGGAAGGGCCAUCGCUCAACGGAUAAAAGGUACUCCGGGGAUAACAGGCUGAUACCGCCCAAGAGUUCAUAUCGACGGCGGUGUUUGGCACCUCGAUGUCGGCUCAUCACAUCCUGGGGCUGAAGUAGGUCCCAAGGGUAUGGCUGUUCGCCAUUUAAAGUGGUACGCGAGCUGGGUUUAGAACGUCGUGAGACAGUUCGGUCCCUAUCUGCCGUGGGCGCUGGAGAACUGAGGGGGGCUGCUCCUAGUACGAGAGGACCGGAGUGGACGCAUCACUGGUGUUCGGGUUGUCAUGCCAAUGGCACUGCCCGGUAGCUAAAUGCGGAAGAGAUAAGUGCUGAAAGCAUCUAAGCACGAAACUUGCCCCGAGAUGAGUUCUCCCUGAGACUUAAAGUCUCCUGAAGGAACGUUGAAGACGACGACGUUGAUAGGCCGGGUGUGUAAGCGCAGCGAUGCGUUGAGCUAACCGGUACUAAUGAACCGUGAGGCUUAACCUUACAACGCCGAAG